AAGAGAAAAAGUUUGGAAAAUCAAGAAAAACAAGUGAAAAAGGUGGUGAGUCCUCCGAUAAAGGCAAGGAAAUUGCAUCUGAGGACCAGUAGUUAGAAUACUUCGGAAAUCUGCACUCUAGACAUUGUUCAGGAUAGUCUAUAGAUAGCACAUUUCGUCGAGGACUAGCAUUGGAUUUGCAUUUUCCAAACUGUAGGUUCACUGUCUUUCUUAAUUUUGGUUAUUCGA